GCACGGGUGGCGGAGCGGUCAAUCGCACCAGACUGUAAAUCUGGCGGCUAUAUGCCUACGGGGGUUCAAAUCCCUCCCCGUGCA
rnacentral:tRNA from 1 species